GCUGGGAAUGGUGGCGCAUACCUGUAAUCCCAGCUACUUGGGAGGCUGAGUCAGGAGAAUCUCUUGAACCCGGGAGGUGGAGGUUACAGUGAGCCAAGAUCACGCCACUGCACUCCAGCCUGGGCAACAGAGUGAGAUUCUGUCUCCA
ensembl:misc_RNA Metazoa_SRP Metazoan signal recognition particle RNA